rnacentral:rRNA from 1 species
UACGGAGGGUGCGAGCGUUGUCCGGAAUCAUUGGGCGUAAAGAGCGUGUAGGCGGCCCGAUCAGUCCGCUGUAAAAGUCCAGGGCUCAACCCUGGGAUGCCGGUGGAUACUGUCGGGCUAGAGUCCGGAAGAGGCGAGUGGAAUUCCUGGUGUAGCGGUGAAAUGCGCAGAUAUCAGGAGGAACACCGGUGGCGAAGGCGGUGGGCUGGGCCGGCACUGACGCUGAGGAGCGAAAGCGUGGGGAGCGAACAGG